rnacentral:rRNA from 1 species
AGUGAACGCUGGCGGUAGGCCUAACACAUGCAAGUCGAACGGCAGCACAGUAAGAGCUUGCUCUUACGGGUGGCGAGUGGCGGACGGGUGAGGAAUACAUCGGAAUCUACUUUUUCGUGGGGGAUAACGUAGGGAAACUUACGCUAAUACCGCAUACGACCUACGGGUGAAAGCAGGGGAUCUUCGGACCUUGCGCGAGUGAAUGAGCCGAUGUCGGAUUAGCUAGUUGGCGGGGUAAAGGCCCACCAAGGCGACGAUCCGUAGCUGGUCUGAGAGGAUGAUCCGCCACCCUGGAACUGAGACACGGUCCAGACUCCUACGGGAGGACGCAGUGGGGAAUCUUGGACAAAGGGCGCAAGCCUGAUCCAGCCAUACCGCGUGGGUGAAGAAGGCCUUCGGGUUGUAAAGCCCUUUUGUUGGGAAAGAAAAGCAGCAGGUUAAUCCCCCGCUGUUCUGACGGUACCCAAAGAAUAAGCACCGGCUAACUUCGUG